GGAGGUUUAAUGCUUGUCUUUCACUUUUGAAAAGCGAGCUCCUCUUAAAUGAAUUAGUGGGGUCUGCAUUGUCGGUCCUUGACGUGAUAAGAUGCUUUUCUACGUUUUGGAUUUGGCACUGUGCCCGCUGCUAACCGUCCUAUGGACAAACGAUGGUGCUUCGGUCGCCGUCCGUCUACAUCGGCGGAGGGAGGGCUGGACCCACAAAAGAAAACC
rnacentral:misc_RNA from 1 species